GGGUCAGUAGGUUGGUCGUGCCACCGGUACGUACUGGUCUCACUGAUUCCUCCUUCCUGAAGAACCGUAAUGCCAUUAAUUUGGUGUUGCGGGGAAACAGGACUGUUACUUUGAAAAAAUUAGAGUGUUUAAGGCAAGCUAACGCUUGAAUACAUUAGCAUGGAAUAAUGAAAUAGGACGAUCGAUCCUAUUUUGUUGGUUCCUAGGAUUGACGUA
rnacentral:rRNA from 1 species